CCAGCUCGAAGGCCACGAAGCUCACUACGCACAGGAUGUCAUUGUCAUGCAUCCGAUAUCGUGAGCGGGCUAAGGUCUGAGUAUUAUAAUCUCCCUCGAUUGGCUCUAGCAGGGCCAGGUCGUAAUGCGACCGAGCGAUGUACCAGAAAUCAACCUUUUUUCCUCGAUUGCCCAAGAUCCUGUUAUUCAGGGGAGGUGAGGAGACUGGCUUUGGAAUGCGUUGCGGGGAUCGGGUAGGGUUCUGGGUCGCUCUCUGUUGCCUUCAUCUCGCAGAUGUGCCUCCCAAAAGGGCGCUCUGAGCGCAUAUCACAGCACACGUCGUUGGGCAAAGUAUCGACCAAUAUCCCAUGAAUAUUAUUCAGACGGGCGGCUGUGUUAACAAUACGAAGAUUUGGUGCGAUCUGUCUUGGCCUACAGUCAAAGGUGUUGCAUUGUAGGCCGCGAUGAGGGCACGAUCGCUCCCGAUGUAUUGUUCACCAACCUUUCUGUGAAGUCUGAUGAGGUUCAAUGGGGGUGAUAGCUUCAGCGAGAGUUGUCACUGUGCGCAAAAGAUACUCCCUGCGAACGAGAAGGUGGUUGGCGCGGUCAUACAGAGAACUCUUGUCCUUUAGUGCACUUCGUGGCUCACAUCUCUCUGGGAUGUGAAACUCGAUUCAGACUACUCUUGGACUGG
rnacentral:RNase_P_RNA from 2 species